AGCUCCAAUAGCGUAUAUUAAAGUUGUUGCAGUUAAAAAGCUCGUAGUUGGACUUCUGUGGGUGGCGGCUGGUCGGGCCUCACGGCCUGAACUUGGCUCGCUGCCCGCAUCUUUGGGGAGAUCGUGUGUGGCAUUAAGUUGUUGUGCACGUUAUUCUCAUCUUUUACUGUGAAAAAUUAGAGUGUUUAAAGCAGGCCACCGCCUUGAAUACAUUAGCAUGGAAUAAUAAGAUAGGACCGAUGUCUAUUUUGUUGGUUUACAGAUGCCGGUAAUGAUUAAUAGGGAUAGUUGGGGGUAUUCGUAUUCAGUUGUCAGAGGUGAAAUUCUUGGAUUUUCGGAAGACGCACCACUGCGAAAGCAUUUACCAAGGAUGUUUUCA
rnacentral:rRNA from 1 species